rnacentral:tRNA from 1 species
UCCGGUUUAGCUCAGCUGGUUAGAGCAGUGGACUGUUAAUCCACGUGUCCGGGGUUCGAGUCCCUGAACCGGAGCAA